GCGUCAAAUUUACGAUCCGGAACGUGCCUUGAAUCCGCUUUCGAAUCGUCAUCUUUGAUGCAA
rnacentral:pre_miRNA from 1 species